AGAAGAGUCUCUGGUUAACACGCUGAGGAACUAAUCCAGAAUGGAUGUGAGAACACAUUCAGAGCCUCCUCUCCUAUACUGGCUGGCAGACUCAACAGGCUGCAGUAGACUUAGGUCUUUAAUUCCUCUAGGUGCUAUAUGAUGAAAUAAAGAUAUCUAAGAACCACAGGAAGCAUUUAUUUUAAAGAGGAUGUAAGUUCUGGAGGAACUGGAUUUUGACAUCCCCACCCCACUGCUCACCCCUUCCCUCCAGGCAAGGAAGACAGCAGCAAGCACCACUCAGGUCAUGCGUGAAGGGUCAUCCGAUACGAGAAAGAGAAAUGCAUGAAGUUGCAGCAUCUUGGGGAACUGUGCACCAAUGGCCAUGGGCUCAGCAGGGGAUAAUGUCUGAGCAGGUACAGUGCAACUUAAAGGACACUGGUGGAAACAUGAAAAAGUGUAAGACAAGAAAGGAGUUUCUUCUUCCAAAAGAUUCUGCAGCUAUCCAUCUGUAGAAAUGACAUAGAAUUAUAUUUCAGACAUCAUCAGCAACUCUUCAUUUCUUGAAAAAUACAUGAAUUCCUAUUGCCCACAGUUCCCAAACAGAACUACUUGAACAGAAAAAUGAGAACUGGGAAGUUAAAUUGGCUUCUUGGUUUUCAUUGUGAAAUACAGCAAAAUGCAGAA